GAUGAAGAACGCAGCGAAAUGCGAUAAGUAGUGUGAAUUGCAGAAUUCAGUAAUCAUCGAAUCUUUGAACGCACAUUGCGGCCAUAGGUAUUCCUUUGGCCAUGCCUGUUCGAGCGUCAUUUACACCCUCAAGCCUAGCUUGGUGUUGGGCGUCUGUCCCGCCGUUCUCGCGCGCGGACUCGCCUCAAAGUCAUUGGCGGCGGUCGUGCCGGCCCCCUCGCGCAGCACAUUUGCGCUUCUCGGAGGCCCGGCGGAUCCGCGCUCCAGCAAGACCUUUCACGACUUGACCUCGGAUCAGGUAGGGAUACCCGCUGAACUUAAGCAUAUCAAUAAGCGGAGGA
rnacentral:misc_RNA from 1 species